GCUCUGUGGAUCAGUGGCGAACGGGUGAGUAACACGUGAGCAAUCUGCCCCUGACUCUGGGAUAAGCGCUGGAAACGGCGUCUAAUACCGGAUACGAGCUGCGACCGCAUGGUCAGUAGCUGGAAAGAAUUUCGGUCAGGGAUGAGCUCGCGGCCUAUCAGCUUGUUGGUGAGGUAAUGGCUCACCAAGGCGUCGACGGGUAGCCGGCCUGAGAGGGUGACCGGCCACACUGGGACUGAGACACGGCCCAGACUCCUACGGGAGGCAGCAGUGGGGAAUAUUGCACAAUGGGCGCAAGCCUGAUGCAGCAACGCCGCGUGAGGGAUGACGGCCUUCGGGUUGUAAACCUCUUUUAGCAGGGAAGAAGCGAAAGUGACGGUACCUGCAGAAAAAGCGCCGGCUAACUACGUGCCAGCAGCCGCGGUAAUACGUAGGGCGCAAGCGUUAUCCGGAAUUAUUGGGCGUAAAGAGCUCGUAGGCGGUCUGUCGCGUCUGCUGUGAAAACCCGAGGCUCAAGCUCGGGCCUGCAGUGGGUACGGGCAGACUAGAGUGCGGUAGGGGAGAUUGGAAUUCCUGGUGUAGCGGUGGAAUGCGCAGAUAUCAGGAGGAACACCGAUGGCGAAGGCAGAUCUCUGGGCCGUAACUGACGCUGAGGAGCGAAAGGGUGGGGAGCAAACAGGCUUAGAUACCCUGGUAGUCCACCCCGUAAACGUUGGGGAACUAGUU
rnacentral:rRNA from 1 species